rnacentral:lncRNA from 1 species
GAAUGAAUGAAUGGGUACUAAGUCCUAAAUUGGAAACACAAAGAUACAGAAGAGAUUUCAUUCCAAAGAAAUGUGCCAAUGACGAAGACCAGCCUGGACCUCCAAAAGCCACAGCCUAGGAGCACAGUACCUGGUGCACAGAAGGACCUACCUCAAUUCAAUUAAAGUGACUAAUAGAGCCGGCAGCAUUUGCCCUGGAAUAGGCAGGACAUCAUCAGGGACUCAGUUGCAGCUGUGGAACCACCAGCACCACCAAGGAUAUCCACAAUGUACUAAAAGAGAAACUCUAAGUAGAAAAAACACACAAAAAGCAUUAUAUCCAU